rnacentral:lncRNA from 1 species
GGCUCAUGACUUACAAUUUUUCACCUUGUUACUUGACUUUUAAAUUUCUUCACCCUGUACUCUAGGUGGGCUCCUGACUUGAUAUUUCUUAGUCUGUUGACUUUUAAUCUUAUCACCCUAUUAUUCCGGAGGGUUCCCGACUUGUAAUUUCAUCACCCUGUUCUUUAAACGAGCUCCUGACUUUCAGUUUAAUCAACCUGUUCUCCAGGAGGGCUCCCGGC